UUUCUAAAACCCUAGGAUGAAAACACGUUCCUUCCCUUAAUCAAAACGCACGAAGAUGCAGAACUUGUCGUCUCAGCCGCUGCACUCUCAAUCGCCGUCUCAGUCGUUGCCUUUUCAAUUCGCAUCUCCAUCUCUCUCGGCUACACUCUCAAUUUUCAUCUCCAUCUCUCUUUUGGUUCCUCUCAAUCGCCAUCUCCAUCUCUGCUACACUCUCAAUUUUCAUCUCCAUCUCUCUUUUGGUUCCUCUCAAUCGUCAUCUCCAUCUCUGCUCUCUUAUUGUCGCUCCUUCCAAAUCCGUCCAUCGGAUUUCUUCGACCUCUCGAACUCGGCUGGCGUCAAGGCAUUGGAGCUUCGCAUUGGCUAGGGUGAAACCCCCCUUGAUGGAGAUCGGGCAAUUUCAUUUCAAAAUCCAAUUUAGGGUGAUUUGUUCUAGUGGCUAGAUUGACUAAUAGAAGGAGCAGAGCAGAAAGGGAUGAGUUUUUUUUUUUUUUUUUUUUUUUUAUAAAUAUUUUGUUGACCCUUUUUCUGGGUUUAGAGGCUUUCCAAUUGAUGAGGAAUUAAAUUCAGAUGAUGAAAAACAAUCCGAAAAAGAAAGUAGAAAUCAUAAGAAUUCAUCCAAAACGCCUCUUGUUAAAAAUUGAUGCGUUGUUUUCUUACUACUUUACUUUAGGUUGGAUCGGUUCUCGUUCGAAAAUUCUCUUUUGUUUUCCAUGGUUUGUCCAUAUAUUUUUUGCAUUCAAUUUUUAUAUCAUGCAAUUUUUUUCCUGUACAAUUUUUCAGGGUGGAGUCAUCUUUCAGUAUCCAUUAAACGAAAGCUCAUGGCCACUGUGAGGAGAGAAUCUGUAUAUGGAAAAAGUGCAGGGCCACUUCCUCCUCCUCCUGAAGUCAUCAAUUAUGACAAUGCAGUUGCAAACCAAAUUUUGGAGAAUGCAAAAGCUGAAAAACAUAGUUCCUCAUCUGAAUCGGUAACUUCGCUUUUAUUUUAUUUAUGGAGUUUUCUAAGAAUGAGAGAACCAAACAUGUGUGGCUUUACAAUUACUCUAGGAAAAUUUUGUUGAAAUCUGGGGUUUAAGAUUGAUUAAGGCAACAAGUUGUGAGAGCCUUGUCUACUGAAACAAAAGAAAUUUCUCUUUUGUUUCAUGACUUCAUUAAUAUAAAUUAUUAAUUAAAUGUCUCUUGUUCAAGGUCUGCCCCAUAUGCCUCACAAACCCAAAGGACAUGGCUUUUGCAUGUGGUCAUACAACUCUGGCCUUAUGUGUUUGAAGCUAUUUUCUGAUCGAUCCAUUGUAGUGAUGAAGCUACGAAGCAAGUGAUUGAUGUUUGGUUAGUGACAAGAUUUAUUGUAAUUUUGUUAUUCAUGACAAUAUAACCUUGUUGUAUUUAGUUUCUUUGUAAAAAUAUAUUACCCACGUUCAGUUUCUAUUUUGCUUGUAUUUGUCCCUUCGGAAAAUUUCGAUAGAUUUUCUACACUUAGUUUCUUUGUAAAAAUGUUAUCUAUGAAAUCUAAUGUAAAGCCUAUUUCAUUAUGUAUAUGUAAAGUCUUGGAAUUGAAUAUAUAUGGUGAAUGGUUUUAUUUA